UCCCUGGUGGACCAGUGGUUAGGACUUGACACUUUCAUUGCGAUGGCCCAGGGGUUCAACCCCUCCAGGGGG
rnacentral:tRNA from 1 species